CAGCAAUGGAAAGCUCACAGUGCUCAGGCAGAGAGCCAAAUAAUUACACAUAAGACAACAAAACGCCUGCAGGUGAAGACUUGCCUAGAAAAACUACAGGCACGUUUCCUGACGAUUUCAUCUUCCUGCCUCAUAAAGGUUCUUAGCAUAUGUCAUUCGAAACACACGGCUUACUGCUCUCAGUCAGUCUUAGGAGUAAACAUAAAACACCAAUCUCCUCCUGGAAGGGUGGUAACUAGAAUCUACUAGAUUCCUGUCAGUCCAGAAGAUGCUCUCCUUAGGAUGGGUACAUUUUCUUUCUCCCAAAAUAAGGAUAA